CCUACGGGGGGCUGCAGUGGGGAAUAUUGGACAAUGGGGGGAACCCUGAUCCAGCCAUGCCGCGGGUGUGAAGAAGGCCCCCGGGUUGUAAAGCACUUUCAGGGAGGAAGAACGCCUGGUGGUUAAUACCCAUCAGGAAAGACAUCCCUCACAGAGAAAGCACGGCCUAACUCCGUGCCAGCAGCCGCGGUAAUACGGAGGGGGCGAGCGUUAAUCGGAAUUACUGGGCGUAAAGCGCGCGUAGGUGGCUUGAUAAGCCGGUGUGUGAAAGCCCCGGGCUCAACCUGGGAACGGCAUCCGGAACUGUCAAGCUAGAGUGCAGGAGAGGAAGGUAGAAUUCCCGGUGUAGCGGUGAAAUGCGUAGAGAUCGGGAGGAAUACCAGUGGCGAAGGCGGCCUUCUGGACUGACACUGACACUGAGGUGCGAAAGCGUGGGUAGCAAACAGGAUUAGAUACCCUAGUAGUC
rnacentral:rRNA from 1 species